rnacentral:rRNA from 1 species
AUUGAACGCUGGCGGCAUGCUUUACACAUGCAAGUCGAACGGUAACAGGGUGCUUGCACCGCUGACGAGUGGCGAACGGGUGAGUAAUGCGUCGGAACGUGCCGAGUAGUGGGGGAUAACGCAGCGAAAGUUGUACUAAUACCGCAUACGUACUGAGGUAGAAAGUGGGGGACCUUCGGGCCUCACGCUAUUCGAGCGGCCGACGUCUGAUUAGCUAGUAGGUGAGGUAAAGGCUCACCUAGGCGACGAUCAGUAGCGGGUCUGAGAGGAUGAACCGCCACACUAGGACUGAGACACGGCCCAGGCUCCUAAGGGAGGCAGCAGUGGGGAAUUUUGGACAAUGGGCGAAAGCCUGAUCCAGCCAUGCCGCGUGUCUGAAGAAGGCCUUCGGGUUGUAAAGGACUUUUGUCGGGGAGGAAAUCCCCAGCGUUAAUACCGCUGGGGGAUGACAGUACCUGAAGAAUAAGCACCGGCUAACUACGUGCCAGCCGCCGCGGUAACAC